GCGGGCGUGUUGGAAUUGGUAGACAAGUUGGAUUUAGGUUCCAAUGUUGAAUAGACGUGAGCGUUCGAGUCGCUUCGCCCGCACCA
rnacentral:tRNA from 1 species